UGGCUACAUCAUGUUGAAACACCAGUUCCCUUAUGAUCACCGAAGUUAAGCAAUGUCAAGCCUGGUCAGUACCUGGAAAGGUGACUAUUUGGGGAUACUAGGUGCUAUA